rnacentral:rRNA from 1 species
GCCGGUGCCAAUGACGAUGAGGAUCCACCCGUUCCCAUUCCGAACACGGUCGUUAAGCUCAUCAGUGCCGAAAAUACUUGGAUGGAGACGUCCUGGGAAGAUAGGUCGGUGCCGGCA